rnacentral:rRNA from 1 species
AGAGAACGCUGGCGGCAGGCCUAACACAUGCAAGUCGAACGAACUCUUCGGAGUUAGUGGCGGACGGGUGAGUAACACGUGGGAACGUGCCUUUUGGUUCGGAAUAACUCAGGGAAACUUGUGCUAAUACCGAAUGUGCCCUUCGGGGGAAAGAUUUAUCGCCAUUAGAGCGGCCCGCGUCUGAUUAGCUAGUUGGUGAGGUAACGGCUCACCAAGGCGACGAUCAGUAGCUGGUCUGAGAGGAUGACCAGCCACACUGGGACUGAGACACGGCCCAGACUCCUACGGGAGGCAGCAGUGGGGAAUCUUGCGCAAUGGGCGAAAGCCUGACGCAGCCAUGCCGCGUGAAUGAUGAAGGUCUUAGGAUUGUAAAAUUCUUUCACCGGGGACGAUAAUGACGGUACCCGGAGAAGAAGCCCCGGCUAACUUCGU